CGGGGCGUAGCGCAGUUUGGUAGCGCACACGGCUGGGGGCCGUGUGGUCGCAGGUUCAAAUCCUGUCGCCCCGACCA
rnacentral:tRNA from 2 species